rnacentral:rRNA from 1 species
AUUGAACGCUGGCGGCAGGCCCAACACAUGCAAGUCGAGCGGAUGAAGGGAGCUUGCUCCUGGAUUCAGCGGCGGACGGGUGAGUAAUGCCUAGGAAUCUGCCUGGUAGUGGGGGAUAACGUCCGGAAACGGGCGCUAAUACCGCAUACGUCCUGAGGGAGAAAGUGGGGGAUCUUCGGACCUCACGCUAUCAGAUGAGCCUAGGUCGGAUUAGCUUGUUGGUGGGGUAAAGGCCUACCAAGGCGACGAUCCGUAACUGGUCUGAGAGGAUGAUCAGUCACACUGGAACUGAGACACGGUCCAGACUCCUACGGGAGGCAGCAGUGGGGAAUAUUGGACAAAGGGCGAAAGCCUGAUCCAGCCAUGCCGCGUGUGUGAAGAAGGUCUUCGGAUUGUAAAGCACUUUAAGUUGGGAGGAAGGGCAGUAAGUUAAUACCUUGCUGUUUUGACGUUACCAACAGAAUAAGCACCGGCUAACUUCGUG